rnacentral:rRNA from 1 species
AACGAACGCUGGCGGCAUGCCUAACACAUGCAAGUCGAACGAGACCUUCGGGUCUAGUGGCGAACGGGUGCGUAACGCGUGGGAACCUGCCCUUAGGUUCGGAAUAACUCCCCGAAAGGGGUGCUAAUACCGGAUAAUGUCUUCGGACCAAAGAUGUAUCGCCUUUGGAUGGGCCCGCGUUGGAUUAGCUAGUUGGUAGGGUAAAAGCCUACCAAGGCGACGAUCCAUAGCUGGUCUGAGAGGAUGAUCAGCCACACUGGGACUGUGACACGGCCCAGACUCCUACGAGAGACAGCAGUGGGGAAUAUUGGACAAUGGGCGAAAGCCUGAUCCAGCAAUGCCGCGUGAGUGAUGAAGGCCUUAGGGUUGUAAAGCUCUUUUACCCGGGAUGAUAAUGACAGUACCGGGAGAAUAAGCUCCGGCUAACUCCGUG